CGGCCGCAAGGUUAAAACUCAAAUGAAUUGACGGGGGCCCGCACAAGCGGUGGAGCAUGUGGUUUAAUUCGAUGCAACGCGAAGAACCUUACCUACACUUGACAUACAGAGAACUUACUAGAGAUAGUUUGGUGCCUUCGGGAACUCUGAUACAGGUGCUGCAUGGCUGUCGUCAGCUCGUGUUGUGAGAUGUUGGGUUAAGUCCCGCAACGAGCGCAACCCCUAUCCUUAGUUGCUAGCAGGUAAUGCUG
rnacentral:rRNA from 1 species